rnacentral:lncRNA from 1 species
CAGAGCCAUCAUCACCCUUGAUAUGUUGUCUUAGAAGGCUUUCCUCUUGAACAGUUUUAAGCAGGUGAAGUUCUCAUUAGUGCCUCUGCCACUAUCUUCGUGUAAGGAAAGCGUCCAGUUUAAGUUUUCUGCAUAUGGCUAGCCAGUUUUCCCAACACCAUUUAUUAAAUAGGGAAUUUUUCCCCAUUGCUUGUUUUUGUCAGGUUUAUUAAAGAUCAGAUGGUUGUAGAUGUG